AGCAGCCGCGGUAAUUCCAGCUCCAAUAGCGUAUAUUAAAGUUGUUGCAGUUAAAAAGCUUGUAGUUGAAUUUCGGGGUCAGUAGGUCGGUCGUGCCACUGGUAUGAACUGGUUUUACUGAUUCCUCCCUCUUGAAGAACUGUAAUGCCAUUAAUUUGGUGUUGCAGGGAAUCAGGACUGUUACUUUGAAAAAAUUAGAGUGUUUAAAGCAGGCUUUAGCUUGAAUACAUUAGCAUGGAAUAAUGAAAUAGGACGUUUGAUCCUAUUUUGUUGGUUUCUAGGAUUGACGUAAUGAUUAAUAGGGAUAGUUGGGGGCAUUAGUAUUCAAUUGUCAGAGGUGAAAUUCUUGGAUUUAUUGAAGACUAACUACUGCGAAAGCAUUUGCCAAGGAUGUUUUCAUUAAUCAAGAACGAAAGUUAGGGGAUCGAAGACGAUCAGAUACCGUCGUAGUCUUAACCAUAAACUAUGCCGACUAGGGAUCGGAUGAUGUUAAUUUUUUAAUGACUCAUUCGGCGCCUUACG
rnacentral:rRNA from 1 species